rnacentral:rRNA from 1 species
GACGAACGCUGGCGGCGUGCCUAAUACAUGCAAGUCGAACGCUUCUUUCCUCCCGAGUGCUUGCCCUCAAUUGGAAAGAGGAGUGGCGGACGGGUGAGUAACACGUGGGUAACCUACCCAUCAGAGGGGGAUAACACUUGGAAACAGGUGCUAAUACCGCAUAACAGUUUAUGCCGCAUGGCAUAAGAGUGAAAGGCGCUUUCGGGGGCCGUUGAUGGAUGGACCCGCGGUGCAUUAGCUAGUUGGUGAGGUAACGGCUCACCAAGGCCACGAUGCAUAGCCGACCUGAGAGGGUGAUCGGCCACACUGGGACUGAGACACGGCCCAGACUCCUACGGGAGGCAGCAGUAGGGAAUCUUCGGCAAUGGACGAAAGUCUGACCGAGCAACGCCGCGUGAGUGAAGAAGGUUUUCGGAUCGUAAAACUCUGUUGUUAGAGAAGAACAAGGACGUUAGUAACUGAACGUCCCCUGACGGUAUCUAAACAGAAAGCCACGGCUAACUACGUG